UACGUAGGGGGCAAGCGUUGUCCGGAAUCAUUGGGCGUAAAGAGCGCGUAGGCGGCCCUGUAAGUCCGCUGUGAAAGUCAAGGGCUCAACCCUUGAAUGCCGGUGGAUACUGCAGGGCUAGAGUCCGGAAGAGGCGAGUGGAAUUCCUGGUGUAGCGGUGAAAUGCGCAGAUAUCAGGAGGAACACCGAUGGCGAAGGCAGCUCGCCGGGACGGUACUGACGCUGAGGCGCGAAAGCGUGGGGAGCGAACAGG
rnacentral:rRNA from 1 species